rnacentral:rRNA from 1 species
AUUGAACGCUGGCGGCAGGCCUAACACAUGCAAGUCGAACGGUAGCACAGAGAGCUUGCUCUCGGGUGACGAGUGGCGGACGGGUGAGUAAUGUCUGGGAAACUGCCCGAUGGAGGGGGAUAACUACUGGAAACGGUAGCUAAUACCGCAUAACGUCGCAAGACCAAAGUGGGGGACCUUCGGGCCUCACACCAUCGGAUGUGCCCAGAUGGGAUUAGCUAGUAGGUGGGGUAAUGGCUCACCUAGGCGACGAUCCCUAGCUGGUCUGAGAGGAUGACCAGCCACACUGGAACUGAGACACGGUCCAGACGCCUACGGGAGGCAGCAGUGGGGAAUAUUGCACAAUGGGCGCAAGCCUGAUGCAGCCAUGCCGCGUGUAUGAAGAAGGCCUUCGGGUUGUAAAGUACUUUCAGCGGGGAGGAAGGCGGUGAAGUUAAUAACUUCACCGAUUGACGUUACCCGCAGAAGAAGCACCGGCUAACUCCGUGCCAGCAGCCGCAGUAA